rnacentral:rRNA from 1 species
UACGUAGGGUGCAAGCGUUGUCCGGAAUUAUUGGGCGUAAGAGCUCGUAGGUGGCCUGUCGCGUCGGCUGUGAAAACUCGGGGCUUAAACCCCGAGCCUGCAGUGGAUACGGGCAGACUAGAGGUAGGUAGGGGAGAAUGGAAUUCCCGGUGUAGCGGUGAAAUGCGCAGAUAUCGGGAGGAACACCGGUGGCGAAGGCGGUUCUCUGGGCCUUACCUGACGCUGAGGAGCGAAAGCGUGGGGAGCGAACAGG